GUUUUAAUAGUUUAAAAAUAAAAUAUUGGUCUUGUAAACCAAUGAUAAGAUUUCAUCUUUUAAAACU
rnacentral:tRNA from 1 species